AUAGACUAUAUAUUACAUGGACUGCCAACUCUACGCACUAAGCCUAUAUUUUUCAAUAAACAAGUCCCGUUCACGGAGGCGUCCUUGGUUGCGUGGUAAAUUGACUUCCGGUAGAUUUUUUUUUUACGUAUAAAGAAACCAUUCCCGAAGAUUUUUACCACCACUUUUACAGCAAAUCAUGAAUGGAAACUGAACUGUUAUAGAAGAUGUUACAGAGGAGCAUACUACUUCCACAAACCUGAUUUGAUUGUCACUAACUUUCAAAUUGAAAGGGAUCUACUACGACUGCUCAUGAAUUUCGAGAUUUUACAGCUAAUAGAGGAACAAAUUUUAUCUGCUUCCACUUAGCCAAACAGCAUGGAAAUAUGCUAUUGUAAUGAGUAGAAGAUAUUUGUCAUUUAGAGUAUCAUGCAACAGCUAAUUAUCAGUCCACACAUUUCAAGAUGAGGAAAAGAACAGUAUAAGCUACAUUCAUUGAUGCAUUAUUUAUACAAAAAUGUAUAGUCAACCCAGUCAUCACUCCAUUUUUUUAUGAAGCCAGUUACAGUUACCAUGAAGGGAUGAAAUUUCAGAUAAUAUUUUGUUUAUUUCAUGAAAUGAGAAUAGGCCUACAUCAGAAAUUGAGAUGGUCAUCUUCAGUAUUUAAUGUUUCAUCUAAAAAUGAUAAUUAUAUUAAUACAUAUUUGAUGUACAAACAAAUGAAAACCAUUCAAACACUUUUUUUUUGUGAAGUAUAGAUGAUUAAACUUGUAAGUGUCUGAACAAUA